GCUGGGAGUUAGAGAAAGAUAUAUUUUCCAUCCCAUGCAAGAGCCACUUCACUGAUAGCUGGCUGGCUGGCAAGCUUGUCCCAAGGCAGCAUAGGCAGAGCCAAGGUGGUAAGCUCUGUAUGGAGAGGACAUUGCAGGAUCCAGGCAAUGAAGCAAGGGCUUUCUUAUGUAUGUGUGAAUCAUCAGUGAUUUCAGAAAAUCACUAAAAUCAACAUCUAGACUAGUGUUUGACCAAACAACUGGGCACUUGAGGAUUUUCUAUAUGCAGAUCAUUUCAUAUGCUAACAGAAUCAAGGGACUAUCAGCAUGGCAAGAUGAUUUGGGAAGUGUUUCAUACUCUUCUAUUUUGUGGAAAAGUUAGUGAAGAAUUUAUAUUAUUCCUUAUAAA